AGCAGUAGCCGCGGUAAUACGAGGGGGGCAAGCGUUGUUCGGAAUUAUUGGGCGUAAAGGGUGCGUAGGCGGCGGCCAAAGUCAGGCGUGAAAUUCCUGGGCUCAGCCUGGGGGCUGCCUUUGAUACUGGAAGUCUUGAGUAUGGUAGAGGUGAGUGGAAUUCCGAGUGUAGAGGUGAAAUUCGUAGAUAUUCGGAGGAACACCAGUGGCGAAGGCGGCUCACUGGACCAUUACUGACGCUGGGGUGCGAAAGCGUGGGGAGCAAACAGGAUUAGAUACCCCGGUAGUCCCUGUCUCUUAUAA
rnacentral:rRNA from 1 species